rnacentral:lncRNA from 1 species
CUUGUCCGUCUCCUCUCCUCUGCAGGUCGCUGAGGGCUCUAUGAGUCGGAGCUGGAGCCCCGGCAUCGCCUGCUGGCUGCUGCGGGAUUUUAGGAGGGGGCUGGCGCAAGCCGAGAAGAAGUGGGGCGGGAUGAUUCAUCCUUUCCUACCCCCCUCCACGCUUCCUUCUGAGCUCGGGUGCAGUCACCCCGGAGCAGGGGGCGUGAGAACCCCUCCCGGUCGCGAGUGGGCUGCUGCUGCCUGUCGCCAGCGCUUGGCGCUUGCCUUCCAGCUUUGGUCUGCAUGCCGACCCACCCCUUCUCCUUCCGCUGCUGGCGUAGAGCCAGCACCUCCCCCGAGCCUUCCUGGAGCCUUUUGGGCUUUUCUCCAACCCUCAGAAGCAGCUGGAGCGCCCGCAUCUCUGGUGUUUAGGGAAGAUGGUGGUGUGCCAUGGCUGCAGUGUCCCCUUUCUGCAUCCCUGGUAGCUUUUUCCCUACCCGAGGCAAAGGCUCAGCAUUCCCCCAAAAGCUGUGCCACCAUCGCUACAUGCUUUAAAUGUGCGGAGGCCCUACGCCUUGGAGCAAAGAGGCAUCGGUCCACUGUGGGUAAAAAGUGUAGCAGAAAAGAACACUCACAUAAUGACUGACAGGAAGCAAAAAGAGAGACAGGAAGGGACCAGGGACAAGAUACCCUCGAGGACCUAUCAGUGGCUUGUUUCCUCAGAAACUAACCUGAGAUGACCAGACAGGUGAAGCUAGCAUGUUCCUGUAUCACUGCACAGCUCAGCAUGGCUCAGACAGCAGUAAAGUGAGAAGAUUGGAGGGAACAGAUAGGAGAAAGCCAGGAGCGCCGGUCUUGAAAAAGCUAAGUGGGCGCACUGUGUCUUAGGGCUUGUAGAUCCAGCCCCUGUUAGGCAUAACAUUAACUUGGUUUCUC